AUUGAACGCUGGCGGCAGGCCUAACACAUGCAAGUCGAACGAGUGGCGGACGGGUGGGUAAUGUCUGGGCAACUGCCUGAUGGAGGGGGAUAACUACUGGAAACGGUAGCUAAUACCGCAUACCAUCAGAUGUGCCCAGAUGGGAUUGGCUUGUUGUUGGGGUAACGGCUCACCAGGGCGACGAUCCCUAGCUGGUCUGAGAGGAUGACCAGCCACACUGGAACUGAGACACGGUCCAGACUCCUACGGGAGGCAGCAGUGGGGAAUAUUGGACAAUGGGCGCAAGCCUGAUGGAGCCAUGCCGCGUGAGUGAAGAAGGCCUUCGGGUUGUAAAGUACUUUUAGCGGGGAGGCGUUACCCGCAGAAGAAGCACCGGCUAACUCCGUGCCAGCAGCCGCGGUAAUUC
rnacentral:rRNA from 1 species